rnacentral:rRNA from 1 species
CCUACGGGGUGCUGCAGUGGGGAAUAUUGGACAAUGGGCGAAAGCCUGAUCCAGCCAUGCCGCGUGUGUGAAGAAGGCCUUCGGGUUGUAAAGCACUUUCAGUGGGGAAGAAAGCCUUGGGGCUAAUACCCUCGAGGAAGGACAUCACCCACAGAAGAAGCACCGGCUAACUCCGUGCCAGCAGCCGCGGUAAUACGGAGGGUGCGAGCGUUAAUCGGAAUUACUGGGCGUAAAGCGCGCGUAGGCGGUCUGAUAAGCCGGUUGUGAAAGCCCCGGGCUCAACCUGGGAACGGCAUCCGGAACUGUCAGGCUAGAGUGCAGGAGAGGAAGGUAGAAUUCCCGGUGUAGCGGUGAAAUGCGUAGAGAUCGGGAGGAAUACCAGUGGCGAAGGAGGCCUUCUGGACUGACACUGACGCUGAGGUGCGAAAGCGUGGGUAGCAAACAGGAUUAGAUACCCUUGUAGUC